rnacentral:lncRNA from 1 species
UUUGCUGAUUCUUCUCUACAGGCAUGGGAAUAUUUGUUUUGAUUAUGAUAUUUUAAGAAUAUGUAAAUUAUUCCCCAAAAAAAUGCACAGCAAACUUAGCUGCUUAUAUCUAAAGAUAAUGUUCUUCAUUCCUCAGGCCCUUGCCUCUGAAUAUGCCUGCAGAUUUUCUCAUCUUGACCACGGAAGCUCUGGAUCUUCCUUUUUUUUCCAGAUAACAACUUAAUUUCUCACCUUUUCUGUUCCUCAGUUACUUCAGAUGAUGCUCAUUCUGUGGAUUUUGGCUUUCGAGUUGAUAUUGAAGAAAAAGGAUUCUACACAGAGAAUUUUCAUUCGACAGCAUGGGUUUUCCGAGGUGAUGAUGGGGAUCCUGAAGACAGCCCCAGGUGUCUUAGUAAAAAGCCAAGACCAGUAGCUGUUCGAGAGAGAACUGUGAGACUAUUCAAAGGAACUGGAGACUACCCCUGGGGAUUCCGGAUUCAGUUCUCCAAACCAAUCGUCGUAACUGAAGUGGAUACCAGUAAGUGCUCUCAUGACAAGUUUAAUUCAUACCUUAACAGUCCUCUCAACCCUAUCAAAAUGCACCAGAUAACCUAUCCUCCCUCCAUCUUGUAACUUGCUCAUGUGCAGUAGAAGUAAC